rnacentral:rRNA from 1 species
UACGUAGGUCCCGAGCGUUGUCCGGAUUUAUUGGGCGUAAAGCGAGCGCAGGUGGUUUAUUAAGUCUGGUGUAAAAGGCGGUGGCUCAACCAUUGUAUGCAUUGGAAACUGGUAGACUUGAGUGCAGGAGAGGAGAGUGGAAUUCCAUGUGUAGCGGUGAAAUGCGUAGAUAUAUGGAGGAACACCGGUGGCGAAAGCGGCUCUCUGGCCUGUAACUGACACUGAGGCUCGAAAGCGUGGGGAGCAAACAGG